UACAGAGGUGGCAAGCGUUGUUCGGAAUUACUGGGCGUAAAGGGCGCGUAGGCGGCCUUCUAAGUCAGACGUGAAAUCCCCAGGCUUAACUUGGGAACUGCGUCUGAUACUGGGAGGCUUGAGUGCGGGAGAGGGAUGUGGAAUUCCAGGUGUAGCGGUGAAAUGCGUAGAUAUCUGGAGGAACACCGGUGGCGAAGGCGGCAUCCUGGACCGACACUGACGCUGAGGCGCGAAAGCGUGGGGAGCAAACAGG
rnacentral:rRNA from 1 species